rnacentral:rRNA from 1 species
AACGAACGCUGGCGGCAUGCCUAACACAUGCAAGUCGAACGAACCCUUCGGGGUUAGUGGCGCACGGGUGCGUAACACGUGGAAUCUGCCCUUUGCUUCGGAAUAACAGUUAGAAAUGACUGCUAAUACCGGAUGAUGACGUAAGUCCAAAGAUUUAUCGGCAAAGGAUGAGCCCGCGUAGGAUUAGUUAGUUGGUGGGGUAAUGGCCUACCAAGGCGACGAUCCUUAGCUGGUCUGAGAGGAUGAUCAGCCACACUGGGACUGAGACACGGCCCAGACUCCUACGGGAGGCAGCAGUGGGGAAUAUUGGACAAUGGGCGAAAGCCUGAUCCAGCAAUGCCGCGUGAGUGAUGAAGGCCUUAGGGUUGUAAAGCUCUUUUACCCGGGAUGAUAAUGACAGUACCGGGAGAAUAAGCUCCGGCUAACUCCGUGCCAGCCGCCGCCGUAACAC